rnacentral:rRNA from 1 species
AGUGAACGCUGGCGGUAGGCCUAACACAUGCAAGUCGAACGGCAGCACAGUAAGAGCUUGCUCUUACGGGUGGCGAGUGGCGGACGGGUGAGGAAUACAUCGGAAUCUACUUUUUCGUGGGGGAUAACGUAGGGAAACUUACGCUAAUACCGCAUACGACCUACGGGUGAAGGCAGGGGAUCUUCGGACCUUGCGCGAUUGAAUGAGCCGAUGUCGGAUUAGCUAGUUGGCGGGGUAAAGGCCCACCAAGGCGACGAUCCGUAGCUGGUCUGAGAGGAUGAUCAGCCACACUGGAACUGAGACACGGUCCAGACUCCUACGGGAGGCAGCAGUGGGGAAUAUUGGACAAUGGGCGCAGGCCUGAUCCAGCCAUACCGCGUGGGUGAAGAAGGCCUUCGGGUUGUAAAGCCCUUUUGUUGGGAAAGAAAAGCAGCAGGUUAAUACCCCGCUGUUCUGACGGUACCCAAAGAAUAAGCACCGGCUAACUUCGUG